rnacentral:lncRNA from 1 species
GAGUCGCCGGAUUUUAUUGCGGAAGAAUCUUCUUUUUGCCGUUUUUCCGUUGCCGGUGGUCACCGUCGACCACCGGUUUGGCCGCCCCUUGCCGUCGGAACGUCUCCUCUCCUGCCGAUGGUCGUCCCACGCCAGCUGCGCCGCCGGUCGGCCAUCCAACGAGGGGACCGUGAGGUCCCCUGUUUCAGCCCAAAACAAGUCCACGGGAGAAGAAGAAAAGAAGAAG